CCCCACAUUGGUACUGAGACACGGACCAAACUCCUACGGGAGGCAGCAGUGAGGAAUAUUGGUCAAUGGACGAGAGUCUGAACCAGCCAAGUCGCGUGAAGGAAGACGGAUCUAUGGUUUGUAAACUUCUUUAGUGCGGGAACAAAGCGGCGUCGAGACGCCUGAUGAGUGUACCGCAAGAAUAAGCAUCGGCUAACUCCGUGCCAGCAGCCGCGGUAAUACGGAGGAUGCGAGCGUUAUCCGGAUUUAUUGGGUUUAAAGGGAGCGCAGGCUGCGAGGCAAGUCAGCGGUCAAAUGUCGGGGCUCAACCCCGGCCUGCCGUUGAAACUGUCCUGCUAGAGUUCGAGUGAGGUAUGCGGAAUGCGUUGUGUAGCGGUGAAAUGCAUAGAUAUGACGCAGAACUCCGAUUGCGAAGGCAGCAUACCAACUCGCGACUGACGCUGAGGCUCGAAAGCGUGGGUAUCGAACAGGAUUAGAUACCCUGGUAGUCCACGCAGUAAACGAUGAAUACUAACUGUUCGGAGGGCGACCUCUGAGUGGUAAAGCGAAAGCGUUAAGUAUUCCACCUGGGGAGUACGCCGGCAACGG
rnacentral:rRNA from 1 species